rnacentral:rRNA from 1 species
AGGGUUUGAUCCUGGCUCAGGAUGAACGCUAGCGGCAGGCCUAAUACAUGCAAGUCGAACGGUAACAGGGUAGCAAUACCGCUGACGAGUGGCGCACGGGUGCGUAACGCGUAUGCAACUUACCUUAAACUGGGAGAUAGCCCCUCGAAAGAGGGAUUAAUACCCCAUAGUAAUUAGAUGAGGCAUCUCAUUUAGUUUAAAGCUCAGACGGUUUAAGAUAGGCAUGCGUGACAUUAGCUAGUUGGUGAGGUAAUGGCUCACCAAGGCUACGAUGUCUAGGGGUUCUGAGAGGAUGAUCCCCCACACUGGUACUGAGACACGGACCAGACUCCUACGGGAGGCAGCAGUAAGGAAUAUUGGACAAUGGGCGCAAGCCUGAUCCAGCCAUGCCGCGUGCAGGAUGACGGUCCUAUGGAUUGUAAACUGCUUUUAUACGAGAAGAAACAUCCCGACGAGUCGGGACUUGACGGUAUCGUAAGAAUAAGG